UGCACGUGUGUGGUGCAUGGGGUCAAGAAAAGGGGUGCAUCUCCUCUUUCGACUCUGCCGGGCAGAGGAAGUCUCGGGCUCGUUGGAUUUGAGCGGUGCCCUAGGCUUUAUCUAUAAAACGAGCUUAUGUUUCUCUCUCUAGCAACCCAUCCGAUGAUUCUUGAAUUGAGCCAGCCAUCAAUCUCAAGCUUUUUCGUGGAGAUUACUUGAGGGUUUUACGAUCAAUCCAGCUGCUAGAGCUCGUCAGAGUUCAAGUUUCAGGAUGCGUAGCACUUAGCUAUGGUUAGGAUUACAGGUGAAAGAAUGAAUAGAUAGAGCAUCAUCGCUACUGAUCAUAUGAUUAAAUUUUGUAUUUGUACAAAUUUUUUUGUUUGUUACGAAUUGAGAUCAUUAUUGUUUGCUGAUACUGAGGUUGUAACGAUGUUUUAGACUUUGCAUAUUUUUGUGGACUUUGUCUUAGAGAGUAUGCGGCCAUGUCACAUGGUCGAUUCGGAU